UAGGGUUUCACAAUUCUUAAAUGCUCAACAAUUUCUCUUUUUUCUUCUCUCUCGGUGGUGAUUGUUCUUCAUUUCUCUUUCUCUAUGCCCUUUUCUGGUUGGGUCAUCGGCGGUCUCUAAUUCGCUUGGUGCAGGUCGGGAACUGCUUCGCUUCUUGAUUUUGUGCUCUUAAAUUUCCUCUGCUGUAAGAGGAAAUAAUCGCGCGAAUUGGAUCCCGCCUUGCAUCAACUGAAUCCGAGACCGCGAUGAAGAUUGCAUGGAUCUUGCUUCUUUUUCCGGAUGCAGAUUCUUCCAGGUUUGGAUGUUUUCGUUCUUGUAAUUUACUAUUUUAAGAUCUGGAAGAAUCGCUCAUAGGAGCUAGUUCGUUAUCGAAACUCGAAGGUUUGAAUUCGCUUGAGCGGUCUGGAUUUUAUUGAUCUUUGCGCGUGGUGUUGUUUGUGUUAAUGCGUAUUUAGAAUGGUUAAUUGAUUUGUACGAGUAUACUUGAUUACCUCGUUGAAGGUUUCUGUGUGUUUUUUACUGUUGAUUUGGCGGAAUCUGUUUAUGUUAUAGCUUGAUGAUGUCUCUGUUCGGACUUCGGUGACGGUUUUUAUUCAUCUUUUUCUUAGUCGUUGACUUGGAAUCUAUCUGUUGAUUGCACAGAGUCCUAAUUUCUGUUUACGCUUUUUAUUCAUCUUUUUCUUAGUCGUUGUUAACCUGUUUGCUCAUCUUGGGAAGAGUAAUUCAUUAUAACUCGAUUGUUAUAUGGAAAAUAUAAAUUCUUUUUUUUCCUUUUCACCAAUGAACGGGUUUGCUUGAAUUUGUAGAUCUUGUUUUUUCCGUCGGAUUUUGUGCACAAUCCUCCUCCUUGCAUUUAGUAUUGUAAGCUUUUCUAACAACCUUCUGAACUCGGCAAUAAGAAAGGGUGGAAACUAACCAAGGUUUUGGGUAAUAAUGGAACCAAAUGGCUCUCUGUUGCAAAAGCUGUUAUUUUGAUUAUGCUGUGGAAUGCCACCCAUGCCUCCUGUGUAUAUAUAUAUAUAUAUAAUAAUAUUGUUACUACUUACACGCCUUUGGUCGGUCUUAUUUCAGAAGUAAAUAUUAGAAAAUAGCUGUAAUGACAUAUAUAGAUGAAAAGGAAAUCUUAUUAAAGUUUUGUUCUGUUUCCUCGAACCUAUUAAAAGCUUAGUAAGAACUGUUUGUUUUUCUUUACUUCAUGUGAAAACAAACCUGAGUUGUUGAAUUAUUUUUUCGUAUUUCUUGAAAUUUGGCUACGAACCCUUUUCUGGAAGAAAACAAAAAACGAAAUAAUUGGAGAUAUUCUCUUCUACAGUAGCCAACUAUUGCACGAGCACACACGGUGUGGCUUGAUCGAUCACAGGACCAUGGGUGUAGGCCUGGGCUUGGGCCCUUGGACGAGCUUUGUACAGAUUGGAAGAUGGGCCAUGGCUCUUCGACGAGGUAUGUACAGUUUGAAUGCCACUGUUAAGGGAUGUUUCAUUGGUUUAGUUUGGUUGCUUUUAUUUUAUUUUUAUGAAAUAUUUGAAACCAAUCCCUUGAUACAUUAUAAUUGAACUAACCCAGUUUGGUUCAAGAUUAGCAAGCCAAACAGAAUCAAACCAGUGGCGAAUUAAACCACUUUAAUCGUAUUCAAUUCUUUUUUCUAAUGACGUUAGCCUUGCUUGAUUCCUUUUGGACAUAAAUUUAGUUUGGAGAUCAAUAUCUUUGUUCAUGUAGGCCCUCUUUUUUUCCAUACUCUUUCAGGGUCGAUCAAAUUUAAGAUGAGUAUUAAUGCUUCUGUGUUUUGUUCAUAUGGUUUAGGGACUAAAGUAUUAGUAUCACUCUUUUUUGUUUCAUGCUUUAUGACCACACUUAUUAAAAAAAAAAAGAAACUAUAUUUGAACCUAACUAUUAGUAACUUGAUUAUUUCGAGAUAGAAACAAUACGAGCUGCCAUCCACACCAUAAUAUAUGAAGUUUUUUGAAAAAACUUGCUAGUGAAGGAAACCAUCCCUUGACAAAACUUUGUAUUGUUUUGUUAAUUUAUUGCUUGGUGGCCGAAGAAAAUUGGCUUAAUCAUAACCAAUAUGUCGAUUUAAAGAUAUUCAUUUAACAUAUUAGGUGAAGGUGAGAAUUAUGUUCUCUAUCCCUAUCUCGACCUCUCUAUAUAUAUUCUCACUUCUCUAUUAUUUUUUAUAAUAUUUUUGUUUUUUUUUUCCUAAAAAAAUAUAGAUAAAUUAUUGAUAGAAUUGAUAAAAGCUCAACAUUCACAGAAGAAUAUGGAAGGCAUGUGGAGGAAAAAGUGGAAAUGGGCAGCCCACUUUGUUUUGUUUUGUUUUGUAGCAUUAAAACAAAUGGGUAAUGAAUGAAUGAAUGAAAAUGAAAAGCUUCUAAAAGCCAAGUCCUUUGAUCAUUCAUCUUCACAAUGCCAUUGCCUUUUCUUCAACCAUUUCUUUUUCUUUUCUUCUUCAUUGUGUUUGUUUUCUUUGGUGAGAGGCCCUCAAUCGGGAUCGGACCUAUGUGAAUCGCUAUUAAAACGUUAACAUUAUCAAGCUGGAAUCAGUCGUGUUCGUGGGUUCGAUGUAAAAUUUUAGCUAAAUUAAUAAAAUUACUCACGUUG